GAUGAAGAACGCAGCGAAAUGCGAUACUUGGUGUGAAUUGCAGAAUCCCGUGAACCAUCGAGUCUUUGAACGCAAGUUGCGCCUGAAGCCAUUAGGCUGAAGGCACGCCUGCCUGGGCGUCACACGUCGUUGCCCCCCCAUCUACUCCUUCGGGAUUGCGGGGGGCGGAUGAUGGCCUCCCGUGCGCCUCGCCGCGCGGUUGGCAUAAAUGCCAAGUCCUCGGCGACGCACGCCACGACAAUCGGUGGUUGCGAAACCUCGGUUGCCCGUCGUGUGCGGUCGUCGCGCAUCGAGGGCUCGAAAAAAUUGCCGGGUUCCGGCUCGGCUUUCAACGCGACCCCAGGUCAGGCGGGGUUACCCGCUGAAUUUAAGCAUAUCAAUAAGCGGAGGA
rnacentral:misc_RNA from 1 species